AUUGAGGUAGGGUACUGGCAACAGUGCUCUGCUGAAAUAUUUUCACCCAUGUCUUUUGCGCACUUUUUGUUUCCUGGGCGAGUUUGCUCGCCACCAGGACCCCCAUAUGAACCUUUUUUGUUUUUGCACUCAGCGUCAGUACAAUAAUUUAAUCUAUUAAAACUUUCAACAACGGAUCUCUUGGUUCUGGCAUCGAUGAAGAACGCAGCGAAAUGCGAUACGUAGUGUGAAUUGCAGAAUUCAGUGAAUCAUCGAAUCUUUGAACGCACAUUGCGCCCUUUGGUAUUCCAAAGGGCAUGCCUGUUCGAGCGUCAUUUGUACCCUCAAGCUUUGCUUGGUGUUGGGCGUCUUAUUGUCUCUCCGUCUCGGGGAGACUCGCCUUAAAACAAUUGGCAGCCGGCCUACUGGUUUCGGAGCGCAGCACAAAUUUGCGCUUGCAAUCAGCCAAGGGCGGCAUCCAUGAAGCCUUUUUUCUCUCACAUUUUGACCUCGGAUCAGGUAGGGAUACCCGCUGAACUUAAGCAUAUCAAUAAAGCGGAGAAAAAUGAUCCACUCAGAUGUGG
rnacentral:rRNA from 1 species